AGAGUUUGAUCCUGGCUCAGAGCGAACGCUGGCGGCAGGCCUAACACAUGCAAGUCGAACGGAUCCUUCGGGAUUAGUGGCGGACGGGUGAGUAACACGUGGGAACGUGCCUUUUGGUUCGGAACAACUCAGGGAAACUUGAGCUAAUACCGGAUAAGCCUUUCGAGGGAAAGAUUUAUCGCCAUUAGAGCGGCCCGCGUAGGAUUAGCUAGUUGGUGGGGUAAAGGCCCACCAAGGCUACGAUCCUUAGCUGGUCUGAGAGGAUGAUCAGCCACAUUGGGACUGAGACACGGCCCAAACUCCUACGGGAGGCAGCAGUGGGGAAUCUUGCGCAAUGGGCGAAAGCCUGACGCAGCCAUGCCGCGUGAAUGAUGAAGGUCUUAGGAUUGUAAAAUUCUUUCACCGAGGACGAUAAUGACGGUACUCGGAGAAGAAGCCCCGGCUAACUUCGUGCCAGCAGCCGCGGUAAUACGAAGGGGGCUAGCGUUGCUCGGAAUUACUGGGCGUAAAGGGAGCGUAGGCGGAUAGUUUAGUCAGAGGUGAAAGCCCAGGGCUCAACCUUGGAAUUGCCUUUGAUACUGGCUAUCUUGAGUACGGAAGAGGUAUGUGGAACUCCGAGUGUAGAGGUGAAAUUCGUAGAUAUUCGGAAGAACACCAGUGGCGAAGGCGACAUACUGGUCCGUUACUGACGCUGAGGCUCGAAAGCGUGGGGAGCAAACAGGAUUAGAUACCCUGGUAGUCCACGCUGUAAACGAUGAGUGCUAGUUGUCGGCAUGCAUGCAUGUCGGUGACGCAGCUAACGCAUUAAGCACUCCGCCUGGGGAGUACGGUCGCAAGAUU
rnacentral:rRNA from 1 species